rnacentral:lncRNA from 1 species
UUUGAUAGAUGGUAGAAAUGAAAAAAAGAAAAGAAUUUAUGAUGGCACAAAUGGGAACCACAUCUCCUUGACUAAAAAAAAGGUCGUGAAGAAGUUGAAAUUUAAUCUGGCUUGAUAGUAGCUUAACACAGACGUACAAAUGGGAACAUAAAUAAAAACAUUAUAUCUCCACAAACAACCAAUAGCUUUAACAACCAUUUAAGGACAGAGACUUACACAGCUUUUUUUACACACUGUACAUUGUGUUACUGCUAAAGCACCUUAGAGCUGGCGCUAAGCAUACAGUAGCUUGCAUUUCUACAAACAAUAUGGACUGUUUAACUGCUGAAUAUCAUCCAUAACUGCUGUCUACACUUGCAGUCUUAAGGAACCCCAAAGCCAAAGUCCAUCUGUACAGAGACAUACAAAGUGAUCUUAGGGGUCAAGGAACCUGUCAAAGAGCAAAUUAGACUAGAAAACUGUAUUCAUGCUGCAAUAACUAUAUACCAGUGAACUGACAAUUUAUACCUCCACUAUAACUUUCUUCACUGAAUCUCCUUGGUAGUUUGAGACUUUGAGCUAUCCACUAUAGGCCAGUACUAAAUUUUUUUAACACUGAAUCUCCUUAGCUCACAGAACAUGCCUGUCAAGAUCCAAACAUUUAAAGCAAGACUUCUUACUUUUUGAAACUGUACACAGUCGUCUUUUAUCAAUAUUGGUGUACUGUUGACAGCAGCAAAGAAAAUAAAGAUAAAUGAAAGGCAACUCUGGUGAACAAAACUGGAAAGGAACUCCAAUUCAUAUUUGUACACAAUAUCAUUGAGAAACACAAUUCAUAUAUGAUUCCACCUGGAAAACAGCCUGUGGGUUUGUGAAACAGCUUAUGAUCACUUAAGUCAGCAAAUUUACUUGGUACUUGAAAUAAGAAAGAACCCCGAAGAGUUCAUCCUAUUACAAAAUGAAACAUAUUGUGGUAGCAAAAACCAUGUAAAAGUUAAACAGCAAUGAACAAAAAUGUAACAACAAAUACAAACAUGCAUGCUGAUCUGUCUAUGAGACUAUGACCAUUAACUCUUAGCAACAGUACUUAUUCUUUGAUAAAUGAUAUAUAUUUUCACCGUUACUGAUAAAGAAAAAGUAUAUGGCGAACGUACAGUCGUACACUAAGGAAAGUCUAUUUCAAACAGCUUUAAAAUGAAAUUUGUAAUCUAUGAACUAACGAGCAGAACAAUGAAGGAUGAUAUUAUUAAUCAGCCAAAAAAUCGUCAAAACACAAUCCAGAUGGGAAGAAACAUAGAUGUGAAAUGAUCCUUUUAGGCUUAAUCACUAUAAACUUCAACAAAUAAUGCAUGAAAACAAGCCCGGGAAAAGUAACAAAAACACGAAAUAAAAAACGUAUUUUAUCACUUACUAAAAAUAUAGAGAAAGUUCAAGUUCAAACAAGUCAGCCAGCAUUCUAUGUUUGCUAAUCGCCCGGCUUAAUUGCAGUAAACCUUCUCAUCUGUAUGAUGUGCAAGAAGACAUGCUCAAAGAAAAUAAACCUAAAGAUACAAACAUAGCGAACAAGAUAAGCACAAUCUGUGCAUGAAUACAUGUUCAAAGAAAGUGUAAUACGAAAUUAAAAAGUGAAAAACAUAUACAUUUUAAUAACUUUUACCCUGUUUCUAUCAUAUCUCCUUGACUACAAGAAAGGUUGCCAAGAUGCAUCUUGAUGAAGUUGAGAUCUAAUUUGGCCUAAUAGUAUCUUAACACAGGCAUAUGAAUGACUUGAAUGGGAACAUCCAACAAAAGCAUAUACUGGUUAGGAACACUGGACACAAGAAAUAUUAGAAUGAAAAAAGGACACAAACAGACUACAGGUUUAACUAUUUAAGGACAAAAAGACUCAAGCAUAGACAAUAUCUUUCAUUUUUAGACACAGUACACACUGUUCAACCGCUGAAGUUCAUCCCAUAACUGCAGUCUACAUUUGAGGUUUUCAAGCCCUCCAAAUCCAGCUCUAAAGAUUCAUCUGUGCAGAGACAAACAAAGUGGUCCUAGUGGGUUUCCCAAUAGAAGCUUAAGGAAUCAAGGAGUCGAAAGAGAAAACUGGACUAAGAAAUUGCGUUCAAGUUGCUAUGUACCAAUGAAUUGGAGGACUUCAACCCAUAUAUCCCUCACUAUACGCACAUUGGUAUUUUGAGCUACCUGCUAAGGCAAUGUUUGUUUUGGCACUAAAUCGCCUUCCAUGUUUCAAUUCAAAUCACUCAUUUUUAGCUUAAACAUUUUAAAGCAAGACUUCUAACUUGUUAAAAACAACCCUAACAAAAACAAAAACAAAGAUAAAUGAAAGGUUACCUCUUUCUGAGUGAACAAAACAUGAAAGGAGCUCCAAAUUUUAAGUUGUACCCAAUAUCAUCGUCUCAUCGAUAAACACAACUCAUUUAUGUAUCCCAAACAGCAUUAUGUAAAAGUGAGAUUGAAGAUAUGCACAGAAAAGCCAAAUUCCCAAAUAAGAUUUCACAAAAUAAAAUUCAAGCAUAAAGACAAACAACCUAUCGGAAAAUCUACACAGGUGUGAGAUAAUCCUUUGGGCUUAGCACUGUAAGCUUCAACAUCUACUUAGAUACAAAACAUAUAUUUUUACUUAAUAAAAUAAACAAAUUUCAAGUUUAAACAAGUCAGCAAGCACAAUCUACAAAGAUGUUUGAUGAUCCUCCAAGUUUAAUUGUAUUAGCUAUUAAACUUCCUCAUCUAUGUAUGAUGCACAAGAAGACGUGUUCAAAGAAAAUAAACUUAGAUAGAGAAUACAAAACAUAACGAACAAGAUAUCAAGCACAGUGGCUGUAGAUGUGAGAUGAUCCCUCAGGAAGUCAGAAUAAGCUCCAUCAUUCAAUUUCUCCAUCUACAUAAGAUGUGCAUGACAACAUGUUCAAAUAAAGUGGACCACAAAAUGACAUUGCAAAAUCUAACAAAAAUAUAAGUUUGAACAAUUCAUCAACAUUCUACAAGGACGUGAGAUGUUCCUCAUACAGUCAUACUUGAUCAUUAUAAGUUUGACAACAAAGGGUACUUGCAUCUAACGAUGAAACCAAUGAGGAUAAGUCAUUUCAUCUAAGCAUGAUGUAUAAUAUAUUGGGCCGUCAAAUGAAGGAUGUGAGCAAUAAAUGAUGUCAGAUUUACCUAUAUUUAUAUAAAUUAAUACUGUGAGUACUUCAAAUUAUUAACUAUUGUGCUUCUUAUAUUUGGUAUCCAUAUAAAAGAUGGAUCACUACAACUAUUAAAAGUAUGCAGAUACCUACAAACCAAAUUGCAGAAAAAAAAAAAAAAAAAAACUCGAAACUCUGAUUACCUUUUCCACCCACCAUUGUAAUUGAUAUUUACAGAAGGAACUGGUUCUACAUCAACAACUGCUUGAAACCCUAAGAUUCAUUACUAUAACUUGAAACAAUCACUCGCCAAUUUUAGAGAAAGGUUUCGUUCUAAUAGAAAACAAAACAAACCCAAUUUAACAAAAUAUCACGAAACCCUAGAGCAAAAACAAAAGUAGAAAACAUAACUCAACUACUACUACUACUUACCUUACUACCUCUUCUUCUCAAUCAAUCUUUCCACCAGAGAAACUUGGAAAGAAAUCGCAAUCUUUCUCUUCCUUCCGACGAGUGUAUAUAUUUAUAAGCUAUACUGCUUAUAAACACACGCACCGCCAUAUUGUCUGCUUUUAUUUUACGCCAACCAUUAGUCCGCGUAUAAGUUCGCGUAAUUUUACCGCGACGCGGCUUAUGAUUUACCCAGUCGGUUAUAAAAACGCCGAAGUUACUUAUCAAUUAUUUAAACCGUCAGAUUAGAAAUAUUCGAUCAUCUCAAGAAUGCCACACGAGAGUCUCGAGACGAGAUUAUA